rnacentral:misc_RNA from 1 species
GAUGAAGAACGUAGCGAAAUGCGAUACGUAAUGUGAAUUGCAGAAUUCAGUGAAUCAUCGAGUCUUUGAACGCACAUUGCGCCCCCUGGUAUUCCGGGGGGCAUGCCUGUCCGAGCGUCAUUGCUGCCCUCAAGCACGGCUUGUGUGUUGGGCCCCCGCCCCCCGGUUCCCGGGGGGCGGGCCCGAAAGGCAGCGGCGGCACCGCGUCCGGUCCUCGAGCGUAUGGGGCUUUGUCACCCGCUCGAUUAGGGCCGGCCGGGCGCCAGCCGGCGUCUCCAACCUUCUAUUUUACCAGGUUGACCUCGGAUCAGGUAGGGAUACCCGCUGAACUUAAGCAUAUCAAUAAGCGGAGGA